AUACGUAGGGGGCGAGCGUUGUCCGGAAUGAUUGGGCGUAAAGGGCGCGUAGGCGGCCCGGUAAGUCUGGAGUGAAAGUCCUGUUUUUAAGAUGGGAAUUGCUUUGGAUACUGUCGGGCUUGAGUGCAGGAGAGGUAAGUGGAAUUCCCAGUGUAGCGGUGAAAUGCGUAGAGAUUGGAAGGAACACCAGUGGCGAAGGCGACUUACUGGACUGUAACUGACGCUGAGGCGCGAAAGUGUGGGGAGCAAACAGGAUUAGAUACCCUGGUAGUCCACACUGUAAACGAUGAAUGCUAGGUGUAGGGGGUAUCGACCCCUUCUGUGCCGCAGUCAACACAAUAAGCAUUCCGCCUGGGGAGUACGGCCGCAAGGUUGAAACUCAAAUGAAUUGACGGGG
rnacentral:rRNA from 1 species